ACCCAGCUGACGAGUCCCAAAUAGGAUGAAAUGUCGCGCGUCCUGGAU
rnacentral:hammerhead_ribozyme from 1 species